GUGAGGAAUUUUCCGCAAUGGGCGAAAGCCUGACGGAGCAAUGCCGCGUGAAGGAUGAAGGCCUAUGGGUUGUAAACUUCUUUUCUCAGAAAAGAAUUAUGACGGUAUCUGAGGAAUAAGCAUCGGCUAACUCUGUGCCAGCAGCCGCGGUAAGACAGAGGAUGCAAGCGUUAUCCGGAAUGAUUGGGCGUAAAGCGUCUGUAGGUUGUUUAAAAAGUAUUCUGUCAAAGAUUAGGGCUUAACCCUAGAUAGGCAGAAUAAACUUUUAAGCUAGAGUUUGGUAGAGGCGGAGGGAAUUCCCGGUGGAGCGGUGAAAUGCGUAGAUAUCGGGAGGAACACCAAAGGCGAAGGCACUCUGCUGGGCCAAUACUAACACUGAGAGACGAAAGCGAGGGGAGCAAAUGGGAUUAGAUACCCGUGUAGUCC
rnacentral:rRNA from 1 species